UCCGUAGGUGAACCUGCGGAAGGAUCACUAAAGUAAACGCCCUCCGGGGCUCUCUUUAAUUCACACACCCCUGUGCACUUUGGCCACCUGCCGCGCUUUACUGCGUUAGUAGGUGUGUCUUUUUAACUAUACACUAUAUACACAAGUCAUUGAAUGUAAAAUCGUUAUAAACUAAUAUAACUUUCAACAACGGAUCUCUUGGUUCUCGCAUCGAUGAAGAACGCAGCGAAUUGCGAUAAGUAAUGUGAAUUGCAGAAUUCAGUGAAUCAUCGAAUCUUUGAACGCAUCUUGCGCUCUUUGGUAUUCCGAAGAGCAUGCCUGUUUGAGUGUCAUGAAACUCUCACCUCCAGCCUUCUUUAAUUAGAGGUGUUGGGGCGUGGACGUGAGUGCUGCUGGUGCCCUAGUUGCAUCGGCUCACUUGAAAUACAUUAGCUGAAUCCUCUAGAGGUGGUUCUACUCGACGUGAUAAGAUCUCCGUCGAGGACAGUGCAACUUGUUGUGCUGGCCGCCGCUAGCUGUUGAUACGCUUCUAAUUAGCGCAGACUUCGAGUGCUGGCAACUUUUGACAACUUGGCCUCAAAUCAGGUAGGACUUCCCACUGAACUUAAGCAUAUCAAUAAGCGGAGGA
rnacentral:rRNA from 1 species